rnacentral:rRNA from 1 species
ACACUCCUGCGGGAAGCAGCAGUGGGGAAUAUUGGACAAUGGGCGCAAGCCUGAUCCAGCCAUGCCGCGUGAGUGAUGAAGGCCCUAGGGUUGUAAAGCUCUUUCACCGGUGAAGAUAAUGACGGUAACCGGAGAAGAAGCCCCGGCUAACUUCGUGCCAGCAGCCGCGGUAAUACGAAGGGGGCUAGCGUUGUUCGGAUUUACUGGGCGUAAAGCGCACGUAGGCGGACUAUUAAGUCAGGGGUGAAAUCCCGGGGCUCAACCCCGGAACUGCCUUUGAUACUGGUAGUCUUGAGUUCGAGAGAGGUGAGUGGAAUUCCGAGUGUAGAGGUGAAAUUCGUAGAUAUUCGGAGGAACACCAGUGGCGAAGGCGGCUCACUGGCUCGAUACUGACGCUGAGGUGCGAAAGCGUGGGGAGCAAACAGGAUUAGAAACCCUUGUAGUCC